CACCUCUCAGGGUCGUGCCUGGAGAGUUUGCAGUACUCUACCAGUGUCGACUAUGGGAGGGAGAGUCAGGCAGAGGCCUAUCCAUACCUCUCCUAGCUUGGGCAGAGGCUAGCCAGUGGAAGGCAAUCUGCUACAAGU